rnacentral:tRNA from 1 species
CAGAAUGUAGCUUAAUUAAAGUCCCUCGCUUACACCGAGCCCAUACCCGAUAACCACGGGUCAUCCUGA